CGUUCCCUCCGAAACGAUAAAAUUGGAACGACAUAGAGAAGAUUAGCAUGUCCCUGUGCAUUGAUGACACGCUCAAAUUGAGAAAUGAUUCAAGAAGAA